CGCUAUGUAAAUCAGUACCUUACGUUAGCUGGCAGCACUCAUAAUGCUGGGGUCGGCGGUUCGACUCCGCCCCUUGCUACCA
rnacentral:tRNA from 1 species